GAUGAACGCUGGCAGUGUGCCUAAGACAUGCAAGUCGAACGGGAGGCUUCGGACUCUAGUGGCGAACGGGUGAGUAACACGUGGGCGACCGACCUCCAAGUACGGCAUAACCCCGGGAAACCGGAGCUAAUUCCGUAUGUGCUCGUAUCUCACUUGAUACCCGUAAAGAUUUAGCGCUUGGAGAUGGGCACGCGGCGCAUCAGCUUGUUGGUGGGGUCACGGCCUACCAAGGCGACGCCGCGUAGCCGACCUGGGAGGGUGGCCGGCCACAGGGGCACUGAGACACGGGCCCCACUCCUGCGGGAGGCAGCAGUUAGGAAUCUUCGGCAAUGGGCGAAAGCCUGACCGAGCGACACUGCUUGGAGGAUGAAGGUCUUCGGAUCGUAAACUCCUGAACGAGGGACGAAUAAUGACGGUACCUCGCUAAUAGCACCGGCUAACUCCGUGCCAGCAGCCGCAGUAACAC
rnacentral:rRNA from 1 species